rnacentral:rRNA from 1 species
GAUGAACGCUGGCGGCGUGCUUAACACAUGCAAGUCGAACGAUUAAAGCCCCUUCGGGGUGGUAUAGAGUGGCGAACGGGUGAGUAACACGUGGGCAAUCUGCCCCUCACUUCGGGAUAACUCAGGGAAACUUGAGCUAAUACCGGAUACUCCGAACUGAUCGCAUGGUCGGUUCGGGAAAGCUCCGACGGUGAGGGAUGAGCCCGCGGCCCAUUAGCUUGUUGGUGAGGUAACGGCCCACCAAGGCAACGAUGGGUAGCCGCGCUGAGAGGCGGAUCGGCCACACUGGGACUGAGACACGGCCCAGACUCCUACGGGAGGCUG